GCCUGAGACUCUUCCAGAGAAUGGCUAUUUCCAGAUAAGAAAACUGAAGCUCAAGGAACUACGUAGAGAUCAAUCUUACUGUCUAGCUUUCCAGAUGAUAAUAGACACAUGACCCAGCUUCUUCCAUCAUGCUCGUUAAAACCACCAGCCAAUCCCCAGAAACAGCUUCCUAGCUAAACCAGUAGCUGAUAGCUGACGCAUAAGUGAAUUGAGACCAGAAGAAUCUUCCAGCAGAGCCCAGCCCAAGUUGCCA
rnacentral:lncRNA from 10 species